CUUUAAUGCUAGUAGAGGAAAGGGAAG
rnacentral:piRNA from 1 species